rnacentral:rRNA from 1 species
CCUACGGGUGGCUGCAGUGGGGGAUAUUGCUCAAUGGGGGGAACCCUGAUGCAGCAACGCCGCGUGGAUGAUGGAGGUUUUCGGCUCGUAAAGCCCUUUCGGCAGGGAAGAUGAUGACGGUAUCUAACGAAUAAGCCCCGGCUAACUCCGUGCCAGCAGCCGCGGUAAUACGGAGGGUGCAAGCGUUAGCCGGAUUGACUGGGCGUAAAGGGGGCGCAGACGGCAAUGCAAGCCAGAAGUGAAAGCCCAUGGCUCAACCACGGGACUGCUUUUGAAACUGCAAUGCUGGAGUACGGGAAGGGCAGGGGGAAUUCAUGGUGUAGCGGUAAAAGGCGUAGAAAUUAGGAGGAAAAC